CCUGACCUUAGAGGUGUUGUAGGUAUUGUUGCUGUGUCACAUGCACAUGUGUAGGUGGCAGAGAGAAGGAAGACUGUGUCUACACUGAGUGUUCUGACCUAUGAACAUCUGAAUCAUUAGUAGCCUAUCAUU